AGGCAACGAGCGAGACCCACGUCCACAGUUGCCAGCAUACCCUCCGGGGGUGAUGGGUACACUGUGGAGACCGCCGCUGCUAAAGCGGAGGAAGGAAUGGGCAACGGUAGGUCAGUAUGCCCCGAAUCUCCCGGGCUACACGCGGGCUACAAUGGUUGGUACAAUGGGCAUCUACCCCGAAAGGGGAAGGAAAUCUCUUAAAGCCAAUCGUAGUUCGGAUUGAGGGCUGCAACUCGCCCUCAUGAAGCUGGAAUCCGUAGUAAUCGCCGUUUCAACAGAACGCGGUGAAUACGUCCCUGGCUCCUU
rnacentral:rRNA from 1 species